rnacentral:rRNA from 1 species
UGGGGAAUAUUGGACAAUGGGCGCAAGCCUGAUCCAGCCAUGCCGCGUGGGUGAAGAAGGCCUUCGGGUUGUAAAGCCCUUUUGUUGGGAAAGAAAAGCAGUCGGUUAAUACCCGAUUGUUCUGACGGUACCCAAAGAAUAAGCACCGGCUAACUUCGUGCCAGCAGCCGCGGUAAUACGAAGGGUGCAAGCGUUACUCGGAAUUACUGGGCGUAAAGCGUGCGUAGGUGGUGGUUUAAGUCUGUUGUGAAAGCCCUGGGCUCAACCUGGGAAUUGGAUGGGAUACUGGGGCACUAGAGUGUGGGAGAGGGGAGCGGAAUUCCCGGUGUAGCAGUGAAAUGCGUAGAGAUCGGGAGGAACAUCCGUGGCGAAGGCGGCUACCUGGACCAACACUGACACUGAGGCACGAAAGCGUGGGGAGCAAACAGGAUUAGAUACCCCCGGGGGCCCCCCCCCCAAAAAAAAAAAANUGGAUGUUGGGUGCAAUUUGGCACGCAGUAUCGAAGCUAACGCGUUAAGUUCGCCGCCUGGGGAGUACGGUCGCAAGACUG